CGGAGCAACCGUCUGGUUGUGAGGAUAAGAGCGACGAGCAAUGACGAAGAAAUCACCACCAGAAAUUUCAAACAGAGGAAAGUCCGGACUGGGUAGAGUAUUCUGCUGUGGAAAUCACAGAUGGGAGUAAUCUUAUGCAAGCCGUAACAGAAAACAGACCGCCCGAUAAGGGUAAGGGUGAAACCGCGAGGCAAGAGCUCACGACGCUGUAUGGCGACAUAUGGCGGUGACGGCACCAGAACCAGAAAGACCAUGUAUAUCGGAGCGUCCGCAAGGGCAAAAGAGUUACUCGCUCUUUUCCGAGGGGUAGGUCGAGAAGAUAAAUGACAGGUUAAAACAGAAACCGGCUUACGGUUCUGCCUA
rnacentral:RNase_P_RNA from 1 species